GGAGUUAGCCGGUGCUUCUUCUGUGAGUGAUGUCCUUCCUGCCGGCUAUUAACCCGCAGGCCUUCUUCCUCACUGAAAGUGCUUUACAACCCGAAGGCCUUCUUCACACACGCGGCAUGGCUGGAUCAGGGUUGCCCCCAUUGUCCAAUAUUCCCCACUGCUGCCUCCCGUAGGAGUCUGGGCCGUGUCUCAGUCCCAGUGUGGCUGAUCAUCCUCUCAGACCAGCUACGGAUCGUCGCCUUGGUGAGCCGUUACCUCACCAACCAGCUAAUCCGACAUAGGCUCAUCCGAUAGCGCGAGGCCCGAAGGUCCCCCGCUUUCCCCCGUAGGGCGUAUGCGGUAUUAGCCUGGGUUUCCCCAGGUUAUCCCCCACUACCGGGCAGAUUCCUAUGCAUUACUCACCCGUCCGCCGCUCGCCACCAGGGAGCAAGCUCCCCGUGCUGCCGCUCGACUUGCAUGUGUUAGGCCUGCCGCCAGCGUUCAAUCUAAGCCAGAAUCAAACUCUGA
rnacentral:rRNA from 1 species